rnacentral:tRNA from 1 species
GGACGAUUAGCUCAGUUGGCUAGAGCACUACAUUCACAUUGUAGGGGUCGAUGGUUCGAGUCCAUCAUCGUCCA